rnacentral:rRNA from 1 species
AGUUUGAUCAUGGCUCAGAUUGAACGCUGGCGUGCAGGCCUAACACAUGCAAGUCGAGCGGCAGCACAAGUAAGUUUACUUAUGAGGUGGCGAGCGGCGGACGGGUGAGUAAUGCCUAGGGAUCUGCCCAGUCGAGGGGGAUAACAGUUGGAAACGACUGCUAAUACCGCAUACGCCCUACGGGGGAAAGAGGGGGACCUUCGGGCCUCUCGCGAUUGGAUGAACCUAGGUGGGAUUAGCUAGUUGGUGAGGUAAUGGCUCACCAAGGCGACGAUCCCUAGCUGUUCUGAGAGGAUGAUCAGCCACACUGGGACUGAGACACGGCCAGACUCCUACGGGAGGCAGCA